rnacentral:rRNA from 1 species
GGAUCCAGACUUUGAUUAUGGCUCAGGAUGAGCGCUAGCUACAGGCUUAACACAUGCAAGUCGAGGGGAAACGAUAUUGGAAGCUUGCUUCCGAUAGGCGUCGACCGGCGCACGGGUGAGUAACGCGUAUCCAACCUGCCCAUCACUUGGGGAUAACCCUGCGAAAGUAAGACUAAUACCCAAUGAUAUCUCUAGAAGACAUCUGAAGGAGAUUAAAGAUUCAUCGGUGAUGGAUGGGGAUGCGUCUGAUUAGCUUGUUGGCGGGGUAACGGCCCACCAAGGCGACGAUCAGUAGGGGUUCUGAGAGGAAGGUCCCCCACAUUGGAACUGAGACACGGUCCAAACUCCUACGGGAGGCAGCAGUGAGGAAUAUUGGUCAAUGGGCGAGAGCCUGAACCAGCCAAGUAGCGUGCAGGAUGACGGCCCUAUGGGUUGUAAACUGCUUUUAUAAGGGAAUAAAGUGAGCCUCGUGAGGCUUUUUGCAUGUACCUUAUGAAUAAGGACCGGCUAAUUCCGUGCCAGCAGCCGCGGUAAUACGGAAGGUCCGGGCGUUAUCCGGAUUUAUUGGGUUUAAAGGGAGCGUAGGCCGGAGAUUAAGCGUGUUGUGAAAUGUAGAUGCUCAACAUCUGCACUGCAGCGCGAACUGGUUUCCUUGAGUACGCACAAAGUGGGCGGAAUUCGUGGUGUAGCGGUGAAAUGCUUAGAUAUCACGAAGAACUCCGAUUGCGAAGGCAGCUCACUGGAGCGCAACUGACGCUGAAGCUCGAAAGUGCGGGUAUCGAACAGGAUUAGAUACCCUGGUAGUCCGCACGGUAAACGAUGGAUGCCCGCUGUUGGUCUGAAUAGGUCAGCGGCCAAGCGAAAGCAUUAAGCAUCCCACCUGGGGAGUACGCCGGCAACGGUGCAACUCAAGGGAAUUGACGG